GCCAAAUUUCUUUCGAGAUUUUUCACUUCUCGAUAUAUCGAAAGUCGUUCAAGUACUCUCAAUAGUAAGCAAUCUCAGAGGUGUUGUGAACAAUGGCGACGUUUCGACUAAAGUGACAUCCUACUGGGCAAAUGUGUUUUUUACACUUUAACGAUAACAUUCUUUUCUAGAUAUUAAUUACGCCAUUUAAGCAUUAGCUUUGAAGAUCCUGCGGUUCAUGAUGGCAUUAAACGCUAACGCACUGUCCAGUGACAUAAGUCGUAGAAAUCCGCAGGACGAGUAUGAGCUCAUUCAACGAAUAGGCAGUGGAACUUAUGGAGAUGUUUAUAAGGCUAAAAGGUUAUCCAUGAACGACCUUGCCGCCAUCAAGGUUAUCAAAUUGGAACCAGGUGAUGAUUUUGCUAUCAUCCAGCAAGAAAUCUUGAUGAUGAAAGAUUGUAGGCAUCCCAAUAUCAUAGCAUAUUAUGGCAGCUACUUGAGAAGGGACAAAUUGUGGAUAUGUAUGGAAUACUGCGGGGGUGGAUCAUUGCAAGAUAUUUAUCACAUAACCGGACCAUUAUCUGAGAUACAGAUAGCGUAUAUGUGCAGAGAGACUCUUAUGGGAUUAGCUUAUUUGCAUACUAUGGGAAAAAUGCAUCGUGAUAUUAAGGGUGCCAAUAUAUUGUUGACCGAGGCAGGUGAUGUGAAAUUAGCUGAUUUUGGUGUGUCAGCUCAAAUUACAGCAACAAUAAAUAAAAGGAAAAGUUUUAUUGGUACACCUUAUUGGAUGGCACCUGAGGUUGCAGCAGUGGAAAGAAAGGGUGGUUAUAAUCAGUUAUGUGAUAUUUGGGCGUGCGGUAUAACUGCAAUAGAAUUAGCAGAGUUGCAACCUCCCAUGUUUGAUUUACAUCCGAUGAGAGCUUUAUUCCUGAUGUCCAAAUCUGGUUUUAAACCUCCGACAUUAAAAGAUCGUGACAAAUGGAGUCCAACAUUUCAUAAUUUUGUUAAAGUUGCUUUAACUAAGAACCCUAAAAAGAGACCAACUGCAGAAAAAUUAUUGCAGCAUGCAUUUUUUCAAGGCGAAAUGAAUAAACGAUUGGCUUUGGAAUUACUGCAAAAGGUAUCAAAUCCUAGUCAUAUGUUCACUGAUUUAGAAGCUGACGAAGAUGGAGCAGUACCUAAUGUACCACAAAGAAUUGCUUCGAGGCAUACAGCAAGACCAAGGCCAAGAAGCCCCAUAUCGCAAUUAGAUAGUGAUGAUCUAAUUAAUCUGGAUGGCAACACAUUACAAAGAGAUUCUAUAACUCCUUCAGUUGAUACUAAUCCGGCGUGGGAUAUUAUGGAUAUUAUGAAUAACGUGAAGGCUGUACAUAACUGCGAUGUUCAUCCAGAUUGCGGAAUUGGUACUGCAUUUGAAGAUGUACAAGAAAAUUUUUCACAUACAUCCACUAAUCGUCACGAUACACUUGGCGCAAAUGUUACCGAAGGUAACAGACGAUCACGUCGAAGCAAAACUGGCACAGAGUUAUUUCAUAUGAGUUUAAGGAGUCUAUUGCAGUACAUUGAUGAGGAGUUGUUGCUAAGGGCCACGCUUCCUCUUGGAGAAUCUUCGAACGAGUGUGAGGUACAUUGCGGAUACUACAAUAAUGUAUCUGGGUCUCAAGCAAGUCCUAGACGUCACAGUUCUGUAGAUGAAUUAUUUGGCCUGGUGAACAAUUCCCAUGCUUUAACGGCUGUAAACGGACAACGUCAAAGAUCUCUUUCAGAUAGUGGCCCUAGAGAAGAAUCCCCACAAUCUAAUGGAGAUAAUGAAAUAUCUAGAGACGGAGAAAGAGAAAAUAUUAGUCCAGAUCUCUUAUCGGAUACACCACCUGUACCACCGAGAAGAAGGGACAGGAAAAGGCAUACACCUCCAAGACCUAUAAGUAAUGGGUUACCCCCAACUCCUAAGGUUCAUAUGGGAGCAUGUUUUUCAAAGGUAUUUAAUGGUUGUCCUUUGAGAAUACAUUGUACAGCUAGUUGGAUACAUCCCGACACAAGAGACCAACACUUACUUAUUGCCGCAGAGGAAGGGAUUUAUAAUUUAAACUUAAACGAACUCCAUGAAACUGCAAUAGAUCAACUAUAUCCUAGACGUACAAUUUGGAUGUAUGUUAUCAAGGAUGUGCUUAUGUCCUUGUCUGGGAAAACACCUCAAUUAUACAGACAUGAUUUAUUAGCAAUGCAAAGCAAACAGACUCAUAGGUUUUCAUUGCAUAUGAACAAAAUACCAGAGAGAUUAGUACCUAGAAAAUUUGCACUCACUACUAAAGUACCAGAUACUAAAGGUUGUACUAAAUGUUGCGUUGGAAGAAAUCCAUACAAUGGAUACAAGUACCUAUGCGGGGCAAUGCCAGCAGGAAUAUUUUUGAUGCAGUGGUACGAUCCUUUAAAUAAAUUUAUGCUUUUAAAGCACUUUGAUUGUGCUCUUCCGUCACCUUUAAACGUAUUUGAAAUGAUUAUUACACCCGAAAUGGAAUAUCCGAUGGUGUGUGUAUCGGUCAAGCAACCAUAUCAACAAAAUAAAUUAAAAUUGGAUUUAAUUAAUAUGAACUCCGGAGCAAGCUGGUUUCAUAGUGACGAGUUAGAAGACAUGGAUGGUUCAGCAACUGUGAUACCAAGGAGAGAAAAUCUUCAUGUCAUUAACGUGACGCAACUCGAGAAGGAUGCAAUACUUGUAUGUUAUGAAAAUGUAGUUAAGGUUGUUACGUUACAAGGAAAACUCAGGGUAAGCAAGAAGCAAAUGUCGGAACUGCAUUUUAAUUUUCAGAUAGAAUCAAUUAUUUGUCUACCGGAUAGUGUAUUGGCAUUCCAUAAACAUGGUAUGCAAGGUAGAAGUUUUAAGAAUAGUGAAAUUACGCAGGAAAUAAGUGAUCCCAGUAGAACCUAUAGGUUACUUGGCUCCGAUAAAGUUGUAAUGUUGGAAAGUCAUUUGGUUCAUACGGGAACAUUGACAGAGACUGAAGGAGCAGAUUUAUAUAUACUUGCAGGUCAUGAGGCCAGUUAUUGAACGACAAUUCUCUUACAUCUUAAUAUGUAAAUAAAAAAAAGAAACAAACAAACAAGCCUCUUGUGUCGCAAGUGAAUGUUAAUGAUUCACCAUCGAUUACAUACACGGAUGCAAUGAUUUAAUCGAUAAAAUGAUUAUUGGAUAAAAAAAAUUGGAAAAGAAAAUCAACUGAAUGAAUUCUCUUUUUGUGAUUGGCUUGAAGACUGGAAGAAAAAAUGAAGUUUCUCAAUUGCUGUAUUAUUGUAUAAGAGAGGAGAGACAGACUAUGGUCUUGCAAGAAGGAAGAGUGCUGGAUUUAAUAGAACUUCGUCAAAAGUAAAGUAAUUUCAACAAUUAUCGUUAAGCUAAUUGCAUGAAGAUUUCUUUUUCUUUUCUUUGUUUUUAUUUUAUUUUCUUUUUUUGGUUUUCAACCAUUUUAACUCUGGGUCUCCACAAUUAGAACGAAUAAGUGAUCAGCAUUUUAAAUGCAACUAGCACAAAGUAAAUAUGAAAAUUAAAUACGCGUAAUUAUUAUAAUUAAGGUAUCAUUGUCACGAAUCAUUGGUAAUAUAUUUUUUUUUUUCAUUUUUUUUUUUUAUUCAAUAUACUUUAACCCUCUGUAAUGUCAUGUUAUUUUGACGCACAUUAAUGUAUCUACUUAGUUACAUUGUAACAA
rnacentral:misc_RNA from 1 species